rnacentral:rRNA from 1 species
AGUAAAAGUCGUAACAAGGUUUCCGUAGGUGAACCUGCGGAAGGAUCAUUAACGAUUGCUAUGCAUACAAAGACAAAUAACCUAUGGUUAUUUUUGACUGCAUUCGACUCUAAUAAAAAACUCCUGACGAGAUCAGGAAGGAUGAUGCCUCUGGCCAUCGUGGUCGCUGUGCGUAUCUGCGCUGCGAACGAUGUAAAACAAACAACCGAUGGCCUCUCAUACAGUAUAAUAUCUCUCGCCAUGGCAUACAGGCCUGGCAUCUGGUACGAGUCUCUCGCAGUCUCAAAACCAACCUUACAACUCUGAGCGGUGGAUCACUUGGCUUGUGGAUGCUAUGAAGACCAUAGCUAAGUGUGAGAAUGGCAGCGAGCCGUCGCUAUAUGCGCUGUCCUCUUCUUAUCACAUGUCGAAUGCACAUUGCGCCCCACCCAGCGGUCGGCUAAACAACCUGCAGACAAAAGCCUGUGAGUUGGAACAAAGGCAAAUGUGUGGCCCUCGAGCAACGGCGAGGGAGCCAGGAGCACAUGGGCGUGCGGACCAACUACUCGUUAGUAGUCAGGCUGACCCUAUGGUGGGGCACUCCUAGUCGAGUGUGGUGGAUCGGACUCUCAUCUCCUGUUGCGUUAAGCGCGAUGUGGGAGAUUGUGAGUUUCUUUGUUGCUGGUGGCAUUUGGGUCGACAUCAGUCGUGCCCGUAAACAACUGCCUUGGCUCGUGCCUCUGUGCGUAUUACCUCUCGCAGGUGCGUGCAUUGAAAGGCCAUAGCUGGCGAUCACUCUUGCGGCCAGGGCACUACCUUUAGCCUGGUUAAUGGCAGUUGGUAUUGCGCACAGGUCCAAAAGGAUAUCGUAAUACGAGAGUCGGGUCUCUGAUACUCUAGCCCGCUUCGCACGGUGUGGAGUGGUGAUUUGACGGUACGCUGAGUAUACGCUUCUCUGGUAAAGGUUCGUCUCUCGUACUAUUCGAGAAUGACAAGCUCUACUUCUUUUGUUCACACACAUGCUGACAGACGAAAAAACGCCUGACGAGAUCAGGAAGGAUUUUCUAACAGUGUGAAAAAAGUAACAGAUUGGCCUGCAGUGUCGCACCACUCUACCUUAAAGCACCGUGUGCAACCGUUGGUAUGAGAGAGACUCGCAUGCCAUAGCUGGCGAUCACUCUUGCGGCCAGGGCACUACCUUUAGCCUGGUUAAUGGCAGUUGGUAUUGCGCACAGGUCUAAAAGGAUAUCCUAAUACGAGAGUCAGGUCUCUGAUACUCUAGCCCGCUUCGCACGGUGUGGAGUGGUGAUUUGACGGUACGCUGAGUAUACGCUUCUCUGGUAAAGGUUCGUCUCUCGUACUAUUCGAGAAUGACAAGCUCUACUUCUUUUGUUCACACACAUGCUGACAGACGAAAAAACGCCUGACGAGAUCAGGAAGGAUUUUCUAACAGUGUGAAAAAAGUAACAGAUUGGCCUGCAGUGUCGCAUCACUCUACUUUAAAGCACCGUGUGCAACCGUUGGUAUGAGAGAGACUCGCAUGCUCGUGUGGUAAUGCCACCACCUCGACUUAGGAGAGGUUACCCGCUGAACUUAAGCAUAUCAGUAAGCGGAGGAAAAGAAACCAAUCAGGGAUUCCCUUAGUAGGGGCGACCGAACAGGGAUGAGCCCAGCGCAGAACCUCCCGGGCCACCCGGCCUGCGGCGGAAUGUUGCGUUAAGGGAAAGGUCGUAGUCAAACCCCACAGCCACGCGAGCUCUAAGUAAGUCACGAAUUGGCUAUCCCAACUAACGGCGGGAAAAUCUCCACGGAGGGUGUAAGACCCGUGUGGGCGCGUGCAAAUGCUGUGUGGGCUCGGCCUCUUUUCCCUGAGAGUCGCGUUGCUUGAGCAUGCAGCGCUAAGCAGGUCGUAAACUCGAUCUAAGGCUAAAUAUGUCCACAAGACCGAUAGCGAACAAGUACCGUGAGGGAAAGUUGAAAAGCACUCUGAAGAGAG